GACGAACGCUGGCGGCGUGCCUAAUACAUGCAAGUAGAACGCUGAAGGAGGAGCUUGCUUCUCUGGAUGAGUUGCGAACAGGUGAGUAACGCGUAGGUAACCUGCCUGGUAGCGGGGGAUAACUAUUGGAAACGAUAGCUAAUACCGCAUAAGAGUAGAUGUCGCAUGACAUUUGCUUAAAAGGUGCAAUUGCAUCACUACCAGAUGGACCUGCGUUGUAUUAGCUAGUUGGUGAGGUAACGGCUCACCAAGGCAACGAUACAUAGCCGACCUGAGAGGGUGAUCGGCCACACUGGGACUGAGACACGGCCCAGACUCCUACGGGAGGCAGCAGUAGGGAAUCUUCGGCAAUGGACGGAAGUCUGACCGAGCAACGCCGCGUGAGUGAAGAAGGUUUUCGGAUCGUAAAGCUCUGUUGUAAGAGAAGAACGAGUGUGAGAGUGGAAAGUUCACACUGUGACGGUAUCUUACCAGAAAGGGACGGCUAACUACGUG
rnacentral:rRNA from 1 species